rfam:Oryza rufipogon genomic scaffold, chr01
UAUAUCUGCAGUUGAGAAUUCCUGCGUCUGACGUUUGACCGUCCAUCUUAUUUAAAAAAUUUUAUGAUUAAUAUUUUUAUUUUUAUUAGAUGAUAAAAAUAAAUAAUACUUUAUGCAUGACUUAUUUUUUAAAAUUUUUUCAUAUUUUUUUCAAAUAAGACAGAUGGUCAAAUGUUGUAUAUGAAAAAUCCAUGAUUGCAUUUAAA